rnacentral:rRNA from 1 species
GAUGAACGCUGGCGGCGUGCCUAAUACAUGCAAGUCGAGCGAACGGACGAGAAGCUUGCUUCUCUGAUGUUAGCGGCGGACGGGUGAGUAACACGUGGAUAACCUACCUAUAAGACUGGGAUAACUUCGGGAAACCGGAGCUAAUACCGGAGAAUAUUUUGAACCGCAUGGUUCAAAAGUGAAAGACGGUCUUGCUGUCACUUAUAGAUGGAUCCGCGCUGCAUUAGCUAGUUGGUAAGGUAACGGCUUACCAAGGCAACGAUGCAUAGCCGACCUGAGAGGGUGAUCCGCCACCCUGGAACUGAGACACGGUCCCGGCUCCUACGGGAGGCAGCAGGAGGGAAUCUUGCGCAAUGGGCGAAAGCCUGACCGAGCCACGCCGGGUGAGUGAUGAAGGUCUUCGGAUCGUAAAACUCUGUUAUUAGGGAAGAACAUAUGUGUAAGUAACUGUGCACAUCUUGACGGUACCUAAUCAGAAAGCCACGGCUAACUACGUG